UUCUACGAACAUGCCACCCUGAAUGAGCCCGACCUCGUCUGAUCUCGGAAGCUAAGCAGGGUCGGGCCUGGUUAGUACUUGGAUAAGAGACUGCCUAGGAAGACCAGGUAUUAGAUU
rnacentral:rRNA from 1 species